AACGCAAGUUGCGCUAUCCUGUUGAGGGAUAGCAUGUUUGUAUGAGGGUUGUUAAAUAACAACAGAUGGAAUGAGGCUUUUUUCUACCGUUAAAAGUGGGGGGAUGCCUUGAAAUUCAAGCCGAUUAUUUUGCAUUUGAUUUCAUCCUUUGUGGUGGAACCUUGGAAAUAAGAAAAAAACUUUUAUGGUUCAACUCGCAAGAGUUUGGAUCAUAUUUGGAUUAAUGCUUUUUACUAAGCAUUUUUUACUUUCUCUUUUUUCCAAACGAUUUUUUAAAUGCAACCUCAUAUCAAGCAAGACUACCCGCUGAACUUAA
rnacentral:misc_RNA from 1 species